rnacentral:lncRNA from 1 species
CUGUGUCCAUGAUUGACCGGUAUCUUCUCAGAUGUGCAAUAAUUAAAAAGGGAACGGCUUCCCAAGAUCCCUUCAGUAAUGCUUGACCGGUCUCUUCCUAGCUUCUCACAAUUGAAAAAGGGAACAGUUUAUCAAGAUCCCCUCUCAAGAUCCAUUCUCCACAUGCACACAUCCAGCAGAGCUUAUUGAAUUUCCCUCCCAAAAAAAGAGGGCUAAACAACAUGUUUCAAAUCACAAUAGAGAGAAAUCAUUUGAAAUCGAGUUGCGUUUCAUGGCCAAUAGAGGUUCCACAAGUGCCACAAUGAAAGUAAACGCAGCAGCAACGAAUGUUGUCUUGAAAGUGACCGAUCAAUGGAAGACUUAAAAGUGACAAGUAAGUAGCUUAACCAAUGUUUUGUAUUGCAAACAAUUGUUAACAACACAUAUAUACUUUAGUUCAGCUUGAUUUUCGGUCUCGCAUUGUUGAAAACUCGGCCAACCAAUACGGGCGCAGCCCUAUCUAGGUCCACAGAUUCCAGUUUUGACCAAGCUUUCUUGGUGGUCCCUACAGAAAAGCAAAAAUCUCACUAUUAGCAAGGCUCAUUAGUCAUUUUGUGUUUCACAAGAAACUGGUUGAACCACUUUGACUUCAUCAGCUUUGACAAGUAUUCAGCUAUAGUAUACUGGAGUGUAUACUCCAGUGACUUGUUUUGCUUUCGCAAGACUUUGAGGGCUUUCCUCUUGGCUGCCAGCUCGUCAUCAACUUCUUGCUGUAUAUCUAUUGGUUACCUUUUCUUUGUCGGAGGACGACGAAUUGUCAUCAUUUGAGUCCCGAGACGACUCAUCAUCGUCAGCGACAGGCUCCUCAGUCACAGUCACAUCAGCAACAACAUCAGCAACCGGUGCAGGAAAGUUGACUUUCUUCAAGAUUCUUCUUAGACUCGGCCAAUUCUUACUAAAUAACAAAAAAAUAUUUAAAACCUCUGCUUAAUCUUAUUAGUUACAAUACUUACAGUCACGUCGACGUUCCUUUCGUGCAGCAGCACAUUCUCCCCCUCAAGUUUAGCAAUUUUCGCCCUCAGCUCCUGUUCCAAAGCAUUUUCCUUUUCUGAUUUCCUGCUCUUUUUGGAAUUAGUUUUCCCUAGAUUCCCCGUAUCACUCUUGCUUUGCUUCACUUUCGAUUCCAUUUUUCACA